rnacentral:rRNA from 1 species
UACGUAGGGUGCGAGCGUUGUCCGGAAUUACUGGGCGUAAAGAGCUCGUAGGUGGUUUGUCGCGUUGUUCGUGAAAACUCACAGCUCAACUGUGGGCGUGCGGGCGAUACGGGCAGACUGGAGUACUGCAGGGGAGACUGGAAUUCCUGGUGUAGCGGUGGAAUGCGCAGAUAUCAGGAGGAACACCGGUGGCGAAGGCGGGUCUCUGGGCAACAACUGACGCUGAGGAGCGAAAGCGUGGGGAGCGAACAGGA